rnacentral:tRNA from 1 species
UCUUUAGUAGCUCAGGGGUUAGAGCAUUCGGCUGUUAACUGAAAAGUCAUUGGUUCAAUUCCAAUUUAAAGAG